rnacentral:snoRNA from 1 species
GUCUUACACUUGAUCUCUGAACUUAAGGUAAGUUCAUGUGUUGACAAGUACAUAUUGCUGAUGCU